rnacentral:rRNA from 1 species
UACGGAGGGAGCUAGCGUUGUUCGGAAUUACUGGGCGUAAAGCGCGCGUAGGCGGCUUUGUAAGUUAGAGGUGAAAGCCCGGGGCUCAACCCCGGAACUGCCUUUAAAACUGCAUCGCUUGAAUCCGGGAGAGGUGAGUGGAAUUCCGAGUGUAGAGGUGAAAUUCGUAGAUAUUCGGAAGAACACCAGUGGCGAAGCGGCUCACUGGACCGGUAUUGACGCUGAGGUGCGAAAGCGUGGGAGCAACAGG